rnacentral:rRNA from 1 species
UACGGGGGGGGCAAGCGUUGUUCGGAAUUACUGGGCGUAAAGGGCUCGUAGGCGGCCAACUAAGUCAGACGUGAAAUCCCCAGGCUCAACCUGGGAACUGCGUCUGAUACUGGAUGGCUUGAAUCCGGGAGAGGGAUGCAGAAUUCCAGGUGUAGCGGUGAAAUGCGUAGAUAUCUGGAGGAAUACCAGUGGCGAAGGCGGCAUCCUGGACCGGCAUUGACGCUGAGGAGCGAAAGCCAGGGGAGCAAACGGG